AAACACGGACCAAGGAGUCUAGAAUAUGCGCGAGUCAAAGGGCUGGCUAAACCCAAAGGCGAAACGAAAGUGAAUUCUUUUAUAGGGCCGAUCCGGUUCGGGGUGUCCGGCGGGCGGCGGAGGGAGUCAAAUCUCGUCGUCGUUUCUUCGGCCCCCGAUUCAUCUCCUUGAUACGAGGACGGCGCAGGCCCGGGGCUCGCACGCGACCUCCCCGUCGUUAAUGCCUAGGCGUUAGUCCUCUCGUUCGCGAGUACGGGUUUUUCUCUAGCGCGCGUCACAUUGCCGAACCUUCUUCUCCGAUUCGUCGGUCUGGGAGGCCAGGUCUUGUCGGGGCGUUCUUGGGUGCCCGCGAGUGCGUCGUUCGGGGCUUUCGUCUCGCAGGCGUGGGACGAGCAGCGGGUUCUCUGAGCGCAUAUUCUAGUACCCGAAAGAUGGUGAUCUAUGCCUGGCCAGGAUGAAGCCAGAGGAAACUCUGGUGGAGGUCCGUAGCGAUUCUGACGUGCAAAUCGAUCGUCGGAGCUGGGCAUAGGGGCGAAAGACCAAUCGAACCAUCUAGUAGCUG
rnacentral:rRNA from 1 species